GAGACAGAAAAGAGAAAGGAAGACUGAAGCAAACCCGACCGACAAAAACCGAAAAGGAUUUUUGUAUUUAUUUUAUUAUCCAACAUUAUUAUUAUAUAUUAUAUAUCAUUGUCAUUGUUAUUAUU
rnacentral:ribozyme from 1 species